rnacentral:rRNA from 1 species
CUAAGUUUGAUGGCGACCGGCGCACGGGUGAGUAACACGUAUCCAACCUGCCGAUGACUCGGGGAUAGCCUUUCGAAAGAAAGAUUAAUACCCGAUGGCAUAGUUCUUCCGCAUGGUAGAACUAUUAAAGAAUUUCGGUCAUCGAUGGGGAUGCGUUCCAUUAGGUUGUUGGCGGGGUAACGGCCCACCAAGCCUUCGAUGGAUAGGGAUUCUGAGAGGAAGGUCCCCCACAUUGGAACUGAGACACGGUCCAAACUCCUACGGGAGGCAGCAUG